rnacentral:rRNA from 1 species
CCUACGGGAGGCAGCAGUGGGGAAUAUUGGACAAUGGGCGAAAGCCUGAUCCAGCCAUGCCGCGUGUGUGAAGAAGGUCUUCGGAUUGUAAAGCACUUUAAGUUGGGAGGAAGGGUUGUAGAUUAAUACUCUGCAAUUUUGACGUUACCGACAGAAUAAGCACCGGCUAACUCUGUGCCAGCAGCCGCGGUAAUACAGAGGGUGCAAUCGUUAAUCGGAAUUACUGGGCGUAAAGCGCGCGUAGGUGGUUUGGGAAGGUGGAUGUGAAAUCGCAAGGCGAAAACUGGGAGCUGCAGUCAAAACUGACUGACUAGAGUAUGGUAGAGGGUGGUGGAAUUGCCUGUGUAGCGGUGAAAUGCGUAGAUAUAGGAAGGAACACCAAUGGCGAAGGCGACCACCUGGACUAAUACUGACACUGAGGUGCGAAAGCGUGGGGAGCAAACAGGAUUAGAUACCCUAGUAGUC